UACGGAGGGUGCGAGCGUUAAUCGGAAUUACUGGGCGUAAAGGGCGCGUAGGCGGUCUAAUGAGUCUGAUGUGAAAGCCCCGGGCUUAACCUGGGAAUGGCAUUGGAUACUGUUGGGCUAGAGUUUGGUAGAGGGGAGUGGAAUUUCCGGUGUAGCGGUGAAAUGCGUAGAGAUCGGAAGGAACACCAGUGGCGAAGGCGACUCCCUGGACUGAAACUGACGCUGAGGUGCGAAAGCGUGGGUAGCAAACAGG
rnacentral:rRNA from 1 species